rnacentral:tRNA from 1 species
GCCGAGGUGGCGGAAUGGUAGACGCGCUGGUCUUAGGAACCAGUGUCUUCGGACGUGGAGGUUCGACUCCUCUCCUCGGCA